UCUUCAGUUCGGGCCCCUCUGGCAGCCGUCGUUGACGGUUGCGAUGUCGGACGGAAGUU
rfam:Proteobacteria bacterium SG_bin8 847, whole genome shotgun sequence.